CUGUACAGUACUUUCCUUGACUUAAUAAACUUUAUAUAUUUCGCCUUUUACUAAAGAUUACCGUGGAGGGGAACAUUACAAUGAGCCUAUAGGCAAUUUUUGAAAUCCCGCUUUACGCGGGAU